UAGGGAAUCUUCGGCAAUGGGGGGAACCCUGACCGAGCAACGCCGCGUGAGUGAAGAAGGUUCUCGGAUCGUAAAGCUCUGUUGUUAAGGAAGAACGAGUGUGAGAAUGGAAAGUUCAUACUGUGACGGUACUUAACCAGAAAGGGACGGCUAACUACGUGCCAGCAGCCGCGGUAAUACGUAGGUCCCGAGCGUUGUCCGGAUUUAUUGGGCGUAAAGCGAGCGCAGGCGGUCAAUUAAGUCUGAUGUGAAAGCCCCCGGCUCAACCGGGGAGGGUCAUUGGCAACUGGUUGACUUGAGUGCAGAAGGGGAGAGUGGAAUUCCAUGUGUAGCGGUGAAAUGCGUAGAUAUAUGGAGGAACACCAGUGGCGAAGGCGACUCUCUGGUCUGUAACUGACGCUGAGGCUCGAAAGCGUGGGUAGCAAACAGG
rnacentral:rRNA from 1 species